GAUUCUGCUUUUGCAUCUUCCUCAUUUUCUCUUGCGGCUGCCAUGUAAGAAGUGCCUUUUGCCUCCCACCAUGAUUCUGAGGCCUCCCCAAACACGUGGAACUGUAAGUCCAAUUAAAUCUCUUUUUCUUCCCAGUCUCAGGUAUGUCUUCACCUGCAGCAUGAAAAUGGACUAAUACACCUCUUUAAUGAGGUUACAAGAGGUAACUAAAGAUAAUUAGGACAUGCAUUUGACGUCGAAAUUGAAAUGGUAUUGGGUGCCUGUAAUCCCAGUUACUCGGGAGGCUGAGACAGGAGAAUUGCUCGAACCUGGGAGGUGGAGGUUGCAGUGAGCCAUGAUUGUGCCAUUGCCCUCCAGCCUGGGCAAUGGAGCGAGACUCUGUCUCAAAAACAAACAAAAAAAUUGUGUUUCUUUUCUAGAGACAGGGUUUCACUAUGUUACCCAAGCUGGUCUUGAAUUCCUGGGCCCAAGCAAUCCUCCUGCCUCAGCCUCCUGAGUAACUUGGAUUACAGAUGUGAGACAUUUGUAUUUGUAUUUACAUUGGAGGCCAGUUCUUAUUGGUAAAAUAUUUUAGGAAACUUAAUGCUGUACCCCCUUGCCUUCCGUUCUGUUUUGGAUUAUGCUUAUUGCUUUGUUUCUCUCUCCUCCCAUUUUUAAUAUUCUUUAAGGGUUUUUCCAGCUCCUGGAUAUGGGUAGGUGGAGAUGAGGCAAGAGGAAAAGACUACAGUAGCAAAUCAUUUCAUUUGGAUA
rnacentral:lncRNA from 10 species